rnacentral:rRNA from 1 species
UACGUAGGUGGCAAGCGUUGUCCGGAUUUACUGGGCGUAAAGGGCGUGCAGGCGGUCUGUUAAGUCUAGGGUGAAAGCUCCCGGCUCAACUGGGAGAGGUCCUUGGAUACUGGCGGACUUGAGGGAGGCAGAGGAGAAUAGAAUUCCCGGUGUAGUGGUGAUAUGCGUAGACAUCGGGAGGAAUACCAGUGGCGAAGGCGGUUCUCUGGGCCUUACCUGACGCUGAGACGCGAAAGCGUGGGGAGCGAACCGG